UACGAAGGGGGCUAGCGUUGUUCGGAAUUACUGGGCGUAAGGCGCGCGCAGGCGGCUAUCCAAGUCAGUGGUGAAAGCCCGGAGCUCAACUCCGGAACUGCCAUUGAAACUGUUUAGCUUGAGGACGAGAGAGGUGAGUGGAAUUCCCAGUGUAGAGGUGAAAUUCGUAGAUAUUGGGAAGAACACCGGUGGCGAAGGCGGCUCACUGGCCCGAUACUGACGCUGAGGCACGAAAGCGUGGGGAGCAAACAGG
rnacentral:rRNA from 1 species